GACGAACGCUGGCGGCGUGCUUAACACAUGCAAGUGGAGCGACGAACCGGGGCUUGCCCCGGGGCAGAGCCGCGAACGGGUGAGUAACACGUGGGUAACCCACCUCGAUGACCGGGACAACCCGAGGAAACUCGGGCUAAUACCGGAUGUGAUCCAUUUUCAUAAGGAAUUGGAUGAAAGAUAGCUUUGGCCUUCGCAUCGAGACGGGCCCGCGGCCCAUUAGCUUGUUGGUGAGGUAACGGCUUACCAAGGCUUCGAUGGGUAGCUGGUCUGAGAGGACGAUCAGCCACACUGGGACUGAGACACGGCCCAGACUCCUACGGGAGGCAGCAGUGGGGAAUCUUGCACAAUGCGCGAAAGCGUGAUGCAGCAACGCCGCGUGGGGGAAGAAGGCCUUCGGGUUGUAAACCCCUUUCAGUUGGGACGAAGCUUCGACGGUGAAUAGCCGGCUGGAGUGACGGUACCUUCAGAAGAAGCCCCGGCUAACUACGUGCCAGCCGCCGCGGUAACAC
rnacentral:rRNA from 1 species